GACGAACGCUGGCGGCGUGCUUAACACAUGCAAGUCGAACGGUGAAGCCCUUCGGGGUGGAUAAGUGGCGAACGGGUGAGUAACACGUGAGCAACCUGCCCCUGGCUCUGGGACAACCACUGGAAACGGUGGCUAAUACCGGAUACGACCCGCCUCGGCAUCCAGUGUGGGUGGAAAGAUUUUCGGCUGGGGAUGGGCUCGCGGCCUAUCAGCUGGGUGGUGAGGUGAAGGCUCACCAAGGCGACGACGGGUAGCCGGCCUGAGAGGGCGACCGGCCACACUGGGACUGAGACACGGCCCAGACUCCUACGGGAGGCAGCAGUGGGGAAUAUUGCACAAUGGGCGAAAGCCUGAUGCAGCGACGCCGCGUGAGGGAUGACGGCCUUCGGGUUGUAAACCUCUUUCAGCUCCGAAGAAGCGAAAGUGACGGUAGGAGCAGAAGAAGCACCGGCUAACUACGUG
rnacentral:rRNA from 1 species